rnacentral:rRNA from 1 species
UACGGGGGGGGUAAGCGUUGUUCGGAAUUACUGGGCGUAAAGGGCUCGUAGGCGGCCAACUAAGUCGGACGUGAAAUCCCUCAGCUUAACUGGGGAACUGCGUCCGAUACUGGAUGGCUUGGAUUUGGGAGAGGGAUGCGGAAUUCCAGGUGUAGCGGUGAAAUGCGUAGAGAUCAGGCGGAACACCCGUGGCGAAGGCGGCCAGCUGGGCCGACCCUGACGCUGAGGCGCGAAGGCGUGGGGAGCGAACGGG